UACGAAGGGGGCUAGCGUUGCUCGGAAUCACUGGGCGUAAAGCGCACGUAGGCGGUCUUUUAAGUCAGGGGUGAAAUCCUGGAGCUCAACUCCAGAACUGCCUUUGAUACUGGGAGUCUUGAGUUCGGGAGAGGUGAGUGGAACUGCGAGUGUAGAGGUGAAAUUCGUAGAUAUUCGCAAGAACACCAGUGGCGAAGGCGGCUCACUGGCCCGAUACUGACGCUGAGGUGCGAAAGCGUGGGGAGCAAACAGG
rnacentral:rRNA from 1 species